rnacentral:rRNA from 1 species
AGAAAUAAAUUUAAUUUACAAAUUUUUAAUUUUUAAUUUAUUUUUUAAAUUUAAAAAUUUAUUAAUUUGAAUAUUUUAAGGGAUAAGCUUUAAAAUAAAUUAUUAAAAAUUAUUAAAUGAUUAAUUAAAAAUGUAUGAGAUGAAUUAGCAAUCAUUUGUAAAUUUGUUAUAAAUUAUUUUUUAAGUUUUUAUUAUUUAAUUUAGUUUUCAUUGAAUUUAUAAAAAUUUUUUUAUUAAUUUUACAUAAAAAGUAAUAAUGAUUGAAUUAGUAUAUUUAAUAUAUUGUUAAAAUAUUUUAUAUUGAGAAGUUUAUGUAAAGAACUCGGCAAAUUAAUUAUACUCGCCUGUUUAACAAAAACUAGUCUUUUUGAGUUAUAUUUAAAGUCUGACCUGCCCACUGAAUAAUUUUAAAUGGCCGCAGUAUUUUGACUGUGCAAAGGUAGCAUAAUCAUUAGUCUUUUAAUUGAAGGCUGGUAUGAACGGUUGGACGAAGUAUAAGCUGUUUCAUAUAAAUUUAUAAUAGAAUUUUAUAUUUUAGUUAAAAAGCUAAAAUUUUAUUAAAAGACGAGAAGACCCUAUAAAUCUUUAUAAUUAGUAUUUAACUAAAUUUUUUUGAUUAAGUUUAUUUUUUUAAUAUUAAUUAUUUUGUUGGGGUGAUGUUAAAAUUUAAUGAACUUUUAAUUUUUUAAACCCAUUAAUUUAUGAAUUAUUGAUCCAUUAAUAAUGAUUAUAAGAUUAAGUUACUUUAGGGAUAACAGCGUAAUUUUUUUUGAGAGUUCAUAUCGACAAAAAAGUUUGCGACCUCGAUGUUGGAUUAAGGUAUAAUUUUGGGUGUAGUUGUUCAAAAAUUAAGUCUGUUCGACUUUUA